rnacentral:rRNA from 1 species
GACGAACGCUGGCGGCGUGCUUAACACAUGCAAGUCGAACGAUGAAGCCCAGCUUGCUGGGUGGAUUAGUGGCGAACGGGUGAGUAACACGUGGGCAACCUGCCCCAAACUCUGGGAUAACUCCUCGAAAGAGGUGCUAAUACCGGAUACGAACUAGACAGACAUCUGUACUAGUUGGAAAGUUGUUCGGUUUGGGAUGGGCCCGCGGCCUAUCAGCUUGUUGGUGAGGUAACGGCUCACCAAGGCUACGACGGGUAACCGGCCUGAGAGGGCGACCGGUCACACUGGGAAUGAGAAACGGCCCAGAAUCCUACGGGAGGCAGCAGUGGGGAAUAUUGCGCAAUGGGCGAAAGCCUGACGUAGCGACGCCGCGUGAGGGAUGAAGGUCUUCGGAUCGUAAACCUCUUUCAGUAGGGACGAAGCGAAAGUGACGGUACCUAAAGAAGAAGCACUGGCUAACUACGUGCCAGCCGCCGCGGUAA